CCCCCUCCUUCUGAAGCAAUAGGCAUUCACUUGUGGCACAAUGCCAUUUGGGGCAGAUUUUUGAGUCUGAACUGGCGUAAACACUUUAGAUGGAUGUGUAAAUCCAGGGCUCUUCAGGACAAGAUACAAGGAGAGAUCGUCUAAGGCAGCUGGAUGUGUACGGACGGUCAGAAUGGCUAGAAGAACAGACCUCCUCAUCCACGUCCGCUUGGUUACAGAUUCAUAACCAGAGAAGAAUAACAAAGAAACAAAUAAGCAGUUGUGACCAAAAUAAAAAAGUGAAAAGAUACUGCCUUUUUCCAACUAAUGCCAGCUGUAGUCUGUUCUGGAAGGUAGAUAUUAAAGCUAUGCUUCAGGCAAAUUCCAGGCCUAUCCAGUGCAAUUUAUUCCGUUUCAUCUUUCUACUUAUAAAUUCACUUUUGGACUUCCCUGGUGGUGCGGUGGUUGAGAAUCCGCCUGCCAAUGCAGGGAACAGGCGUUCCAGCCCUGGUCCGGGAAGAUUCCACACGCCGCGGAGCAACUAAGUCCGUGCGCCACAACUACUGAGCCCACGUGCCACAGCUACUGAAGCCCACGUGCCUAGAGCCCGUGCUCCGCAACAAGAGACGCCACCGCAAUGAGAAGAAGCCUGGACACCGCAACGAAGAGUAGCCCCAGCUCGUCGCAACUAGAGAAAGCCCGCGUGCAGCAACGAAGACCCAACACAG